rnacentral:rRNA from 1 species
AUGAACGCUAGCGGCAGGCUUAAUACAUGCAAGUUGAGGGGCAGCAUGAUAUACGCGAGUAUAUUGAUGGCGACCGGCGGACGGGUGAGUAAUAGGUAGGAGACCUACCUCAUACAGGGGGAUAGCAUAGAGAAAUCUGUGGUAAUACCCCAUGAGGUUAUAUGAAUAGAGGCAUAUAAUCAAAGCAUAAGCGAUUAUGCGGUAUGAGAGGGGCCUACUGACCAUUAGCUAGUUGGUGAGGUAAGGGCUCACCAAGGCGAAGAUGGUUAGGGGUUUUGAGAGAGAGACCCCCCACAUUGGAACUGAGAGACGGUCCAGACUCCUACGGGAGGCAGCAGUGGGGAAUUUUGGACAAUGGGGGCAACCCUGAUCCAGCCAUGCCGCGUGAGUGAAGAAGGCCUUCGGGUUGUAAAGCUCUUUCGGCCGGGAAGAAAUCGUCCUCGCUAAUACCGAGGGCGGAUGACGGUACCGGAAGAAUAAGCACCGGCUAACUACGUG